rnacentral:rRNA from 1 species
UUAAGUGACGAUAGCCUAGGAGAUACACCUGUUCCCAUGCCGAACACAGAAGUUAAGCCCUAGUACGCCUGAUGUAGUUGGGGGUUG